rnacentral:lncRNA from 1 species
ACUUUUUUUUUUUAUAAUUUUUUUAUUUUCCCACUGUACAGCAAGGGGGUCAGGUUAUCCUUACAUGUAUACAUUACAAUUACAUUUUUCCCCCACCCUUUCUUCUGUUGCAACAUGAGUGUCUGGACAUAGUUCUCAAUGCUAUUCAGCAGGAUCUCCUUGUAAAUCUAUUCUAAGUUGUGUCUGAUAAGCCCAAGCUCCCAAUCCCUCCCACUCCCUCCCCCUCCCAUCAGGCAGCCACAAGUCUCUUCUCCAAGUCCAUGAUUUUCUUUUCUGAGGAGAUGUUCAUUUGUGCUGGAUAUUAGAUUCCAGUUAUAAGUGAUAUCAUAUGGUAUUUGUCUUUGUCUUUCUGGCUCAUUUCACUCAGUAUGAGACUCUCUAGUUCCAUCCAUGUUGCUGCAAAUGGCAUUAUGUCAUUCUUUUUUAUGGCUGAGUAGUAUUCCAUUGUGUAUAUAUACCACAUCUUCUGAAUCCAAUCAUAUGUUGAUAGACAUUUGGGUUGUUUCCAUGUCCUGGCUAUGCAAUGAACAUGCGGGUGGAUGUGUCUCUUUUAAGUAGAGUUUUGUCCGGAUAGAUGCCCAAGAGUGGGAUUGUGGGGUCAUAUGGAAGUUCUAUGUAUAGAUUUCUAAGUAUCUCAUGGUAGUUUUGAUUUGCAUUUCUCUUAUAAUCAGCAAUGUUGAGCAUUUUUUCAUGUGUUUGUUGGCCAUCUGUAUAUCUUGAAAGAAGCUUUUGAUAAUUUUAUUAGGGAUGGCUAUUUCUGGACCAGCAGAAAAAAAGGUAAAGGGAAGGGAUUAUAUUUGCUAAGUGCCUACUAUGUGCCAGGCAGGAGGCAUGUAUCAAAUUAUUUAAUUCUUAAAACAGCACAGACAUAGAGACACUAUCACCCUCAUUUUAUGUUUGUUUGUUUGGGUCUUUUUGUCUUUUAGGGCUGCACCCACAGCUUAUGGAAGUUCCCGGGCCACGGGUCGAAUUAGAACUACAGCUGCUGGCCUACACCAGAGUCACAGCAAUGCGGGAUCUGAGCCACGUCUGCAACAUACAGCACAGCUCAUGGUAACACCAGAUCGUUAACCUACUGAGCAAGGCCAGGAAUGAACCUGCGUCCUCAUGGAUGCUAACCGCUGAGCCACGAAGGGAACGCUCUUAUAUAUUUUUUAAAAAAAUUCAAAGAAGUUAAAUAAAUUGACCAAAGUCACCCAGAUAAUAAGUAGAAAAGCUAGAAAUGAAAUUCAGGUUGGCCUGGCCUAAAAGUCAGUCAUCUUUUCAAGGCAGCAGUAAGAAAUAUUUCCAGAGAGCUUGAGAAAAUAGCUCCAAGAAUUCUAACUUCUGGAUCUAGUGUUUUGUUUCCAGGUAACGUGAGAAACAUUUUCCAAUUGCCUGACUACUUCAUAAUAGAGGAAAUGAAAACAAAUUGCACUACUUGGCCUUUAUUGUGUGUUUCAUAAGAGAGGCAGGAGAGAGGGUUUUAUUCUAGGAAAAAAAGAAUGUACUAUAUUCCAAGUCAAGAUGUGUCUAUAAAGGGUAAAUGAUUUGGCCUUUUAGGUGAGAGCCAAUGCAUGUGAAAAACAUUUUGCAAUUUGAUUCCCGCUGACCAAUGGUCACUGCUCAAACGUUCUCCUCCCUCUCCUCACAUCUCUGUGUCUGUCUACCUGUUGCCUUUUUAUGGAUAUUUCACUGUCAAAACCAGCUUGGUAUUCACCAUUUUAGCUGCACUUCCUCCAGCCCCCAUCUCUGUCAUAAUGGGAGAGAACGUCCCCUCCAGACCUCUGCCAUUUGCUCAGGAGAUGAAAACAACCAUCCUCAAGGCCCUUUCUUAGCUCCCCUGCCCUGUCCACUCCCUGUUUCACCACCUUCAGGCAGCUUCCAGCCUAAGAGCAAGACACUGUCUUUUUCUCUAAGCCUCUCAGCUGUCAUCUCUAUCUCCAGCUGGUAUCACCAUGGUGAAAAGAAAUCUCGAUCGAAACUCAAGAGGGGACGGAACACCACUUAUUAAGCAGGAAUCUAUGAAUAUUGAUUUGGGAUUGUCCAAGAUGGUUUUAUCCGUC